ensembl:lncRNA
AUGGCAUCAUUUCAUCAACAGACAGAAGACAGACAGGGGAUCAUGAAACGACUCAAGAAGACAUUCAAGACGCCAGGCACCUCGAUCCUGAAUCAAAUUCUCUCUAUUCCACAGUCCAGUCACCCACAAACCCCUCUGAUUCACAGAAUCCACUUUACUCAGCAGUUCAGUUACCCAAAAACCCCUCUGAUGGGCUCCUGUACGCUGCUGUCAGUUUCCAAAAGUGUGAAGAGUCUCUCAGUGAAGCUACAGUCAGAUUCAGUAAAGAGGAGACUCAGUGUGAUUAUGCAUCUGUCAAUCACAACACCUCGCCAAAUUAAUAUUACCACUGGAUUUUUGUUUUUAUACACAACUAGAAGCAGUCACUGA